rnacentral:rRNA from 1 species
UACGUAGGGGGGCGAGCGUUAUCCGGAUUUACUGGGCGUAAAGCGCGUUAAGGCGGUCGGCAAAGUUGGUUGUGAAAUCUCAGGGCUCAACCCUGAAAUUGCGACCAAUACUGGUCGACUAGAGUGCAAGAGAGGAAGGUGGAAUUCCCGGUGUAGUAGUGAAAUGCGUAGAUAUCGGGAGGAACACCAGUGGCGAAGGCGGCCUCUGGCUUGUAACUGACGCUGUAGCGCGAAAGCGUGGGGAGCGAACCGG